UGUGAGUUGUGACUUGUGAUUGUCAGUUAUUUUCUGUUGUUUUCAAAUUGAGAACUGAGAAGGCCUGCUUUAUGCGACGAGAGUAAAGAUCUUGUGAAUAUUAAUCGACUGUGGAUAUAUCUUGGAUAUUAUAUUACACCUACUGAUCAUAUUUGCCAUGCAUGCUGGCAACUUGCGUAUCAUGCAUCUACUGAAAAUAUGUCCAGCAGCAGCAGCGGUUCGCCAUCAUAAUAUCUGUGUUGUAUCAUGUGGAUUAUCCAUAGUAAUAGCAAAUCGAUGCAGAAUUUUAAUUGAAGGGACAAAUGAAGAACAACAAAGAGUGGCUUCUAUACCUAGUAUCUUCUUGGAUUCAAGCACGAGAGCUUUGGUCUCAAGAUGAAGAACCAGAAUAGUCCAAGUAAUUGAGGAUUUUCAACCUGAAUAUAUGGAAUCAGCUUUAAUGUGUACUGUAUGUGGCCAGUCUAGACACCACAA